rnacentral:rRNA from 1 species
AGGGAAGCGGCAAAAGCUCAAAUUUUGAAAUCUGGCGCCUUUCGGUGUCCGAGUUGUAAUUUGAAGAUUGUAACCUUGGGGUUGGCUCUUGUCUAUGUUUCUUGGAACAGGACGUCACAGAGGGUGAGAAUCCCGUGCGAUGAGAUGCCCAAUUCUAUGUAAGGUGCUUUCGAAGAGUCGAGUUGUUUGGGAAUGCAGCUCUAAGUGGGUGGUAAAUUCCAUCUAAAGCUAAAUAUUGGCGAGAGACCGAUAGCGAACAAGUACAGUGAUGGAAAGAUGAAAAGAACUUUGAAAAGAGAGUGAAAAAGUACGUGAAAUUGUUGAAAGGGAAGGGUUUGAGAUCAGACUCGAUAUUUUGUGAGCCUUGCCUUCGUGGCGGGGUGACCCGCAGCUUAUCGGGCCAGCAUCGGUUUGGGCGGUAGGAUAAUGGCGUAGGAAUGUGACUUUACUUCGGUGAAGUGUUAUAGCCUGCGUUGAUGCUGCCUGCCUAGACCGAGGACUGCGAUUUUAUCAAGGAUGCUGGCAUAAUGAUCCCAAACCGCCCGUCUUGAAACACGGACC